rnacentral:rRNA from 1 species
UACGUAGGGUCCGAGCGUUGUCCGGAAUUACUGGGCGUAAAGAGCUCGUAGGUGGUUUGUCGCGUUGUUCGUGAAAACUCACAGCUUAACUGUGGGCGUGCGGGCGAUACGGGCAGACUUGAGUACUGCAGGGGAGACUGGAAUUCCUGGUGUAGCGGUGGAAUGCGCAGAUAUCAGGAGGAGCACCGGUGGCGAAGGCGGGUCUCUGGGCAGUAACUGACGCUGAGGAGCGAAAGCGUGGGGAGCGAACAGG